GACGAACGCUGGCGGCGUGCUUAACACAUGCAAGUCGAGCGGUAAGGCCCUUUCGGGGGUACACGAGCGGCGAACGGGUGAGUAACACGUGGGUGACCUGCCUUUAGCUCUGGGAUAAGCCUGGGAAACUGGGUCUAAUACCGGAUAUGACUCCGCGGUGCAUGCUGUGGGGUGAAAGCCUUGUGCGGCUGGAGAUGGGCCCGCGGCCUAUCAGCUUGUUGGUGGGGUNAUGGCCUACCAAGGCGACGACGGGUAGCCGGCCUGAGGGGCGACCGGCCACACUGGGACUGAGACACGGCCCAGACUCCUACGGGAGGCAGCAGUGGGGAAUCUUGCGCAAUGGACGAAAGCCUGAUCCAGCAACGCCGCGUGA
rnacentral:rRNA from 1 species